GGAACAUAGCUCAGCUGGUUAGAGCACACGCCUGAUAAGCGUGAGGUCGGUGGUUCGAGUCCACUUGUUCCC
rnacentral:tRNA from 1 species